GCGGAAGGCUGGAUGGCCGCUUUGCGGGGCAACCCGCGGGGAGGAAAGUCCGGACUCCAGAAAGAAACGGUGCCGGGUAACGCCCGGGCGGGGCAACCCGACGGAAAGCGCCACAGAAAAUAAACCGCUGCGGCCCCCGGGCGGCAGUAAGGGUGAAACGGUGGGGUAAGAGCCCACCGCGCCGCUGGCAACAGGGGCGGCAUGGCAAGCCCCACCGGGAGCAAUGCCAAAUAGGGACCGCGUGCCGGGCAACCGGCGGAGCCUCUUUUGCUCCAGCAGGUCCGGGUUGGCAGCUGUAGCCUUGUCGGUAACGGCAGGGUCAGAGGAAUGGUCAUCCAGAAGGGGCAACCCUUUGGACAGAAUCCGGCUUACAGGCCUUCCGCACAU
rnacentral:RNase_P_RNA from 1 species